CUAAUCUACCAAGUUUCACAUUUUUUCGGAUUUAUUUGAUUAGAGUUUUGAGUGACUGAAAUGGCAGAACAAUGCAAAGAUAAAGCAAAAAAUUGCUUCUGGAAAUUAAAAGAGCACACAAGUGAGGCAAUGUGCAUUGUGAGUAGGCCCAGGUAAGUUUCUAAAACUUUUACACUUAUGCCUAAAUAACAGCCCUUUCCCUUAUUUCCUACAACUGGUAAAAAAAAAAAAAAAAAAAAAAAAAGGAUGCUCUCGCCACUCCUCACACCCAUCACAACCGCAGGGCACCAGCGUCCAGGGAGAAAGACAAAAUCCAUAUGAUUCUACGACGUGCUGGGUGCUUAUUCUUUGAUUCUAUGUUCUUUUUCGGAAAUGCCUUAGCACAUAAAUGGUUAUGGGAAUCUGAAUUUGUGACUGAUUGAUAAGAAGUGUUUUACUGAGAAGGGUGAUUUGUGUGUGGUGUUCCUGCAUUCCUUGAAUUGAAAAUGAUUUGUGCAAGCUAAAAAAGGAAGUGGUUCACCUGGAAAAACACUUGUCCAGUUUUGUUGGAGAAGGAAAUAGCCUGAAGCUAUUCUGAAAAAAAAAAUUGAUUCAUCCUGAAACAGCAAGAAGGAGCCUCGCUAACAGAAGUUCGAAUGCGGGGUACUUUUUGUUGUUCAAUGAUUUCUAGUUCAUCCAGAAAAGCUCAAGGAGACAAGUAACAACUUCCUUACCCUUAUGAUCGAGAUUCGUGACACCAUUUUUUUUCCAGGGGUCCCUCCUAACUUUUGCUUUAAUUAUGAAGUUACAUUGAGGACAAUGCAACAUUUUAAGUUAGGGGAGGCUUUGUUUGAUGGAUAUUUUUGUGAUGGGAUGUGAUAUGUCAUGAUGGAUGAUAAUUUAUUA